AUCCAGUGGCUGCAAAAGAGCAUGAGUCUUUGCCGGUACCAAGCAGAGGUUGUUCUUCAGAAAACGGUCCGGAAAGAUUCAGGAGAUAAAGUGAAAGACAAAACACCAGAAAAGGACAGCACAAUCAUGAGGGACAGCAAGACAGCAGCCCAAUGGUGCCAGAAUGAGAAUUUUUUGGGACAGCUCACACUUCCUGCUGUUCUGGAUUAUGAUGUUCAACAGACAGAGGAAGCUCUCCAUGACCUCAAGAACUGGGAUGGAGAAACUGAUGAAAAUUGUCCAGUGGAGCCAUUCACUUUGUGUUUGAA